UGGGGAAUUUUCCGCAAUGGGCGAAAGCCUGACGGAGCAAUACCGCGUGAGGGAGGAAGGCUCUUGGGUUGUAAACCUCUUUUCUCAAGGAAGAACACAAUGACGGUACUUGAGGAAUAAGCAUCGGCUAACUCCGUGCCAGCAGCCGCGGUAAUACGGAGGAUGCAAGCGUUAUCCGGAAUGAUUGGGCGUAAAGCGUCCGCAGGUGGUAUUGUAAGUCUGCUGUUAAAGCGUGAGGCUCAACCUCAUAAGGGCGGUGGAAACUACAAAACUAGAGUACGUUCGGGGCAGAGGGAAUUCCUGGUGUAGCGGUGAAAUGCGUAGAUAUCAGGAAGAACACCGGUGGCGAAAGCGCUCUGCUAGGCCGUAACUGACACUGAGGGACGAAAGCUAGGGGAGCGAAAG
rnacentral:rRNA from 1 species